AUUGAACGCUGGCGGCAGGCCUAACACAUGCAAGUCGAACGGUAACAGGAAACAGCUUGCUGUUUCGCUGACGAGUGGCGGACGGGUGAGUAAUGUCUGGGAAACUGCCUGAUGGAGGGGGAUAACUACUGGAAACGGUAGCUAAUACCGCAUAACGUCGCAAGACCAAAGAGGGGGACCUUCGGGCCUCUUGCCAUCGGAUGCGCCCAGAUGGGAUUAGCUAGUAGGUGGGGUAACGGCUCACCUAGGCGACGAUCCCUAGCUGGUCUGAGAGGAUGACCAGCCACACUGGAACUGAGACACGGUCCAGACUCCUACGGGAGGCAGCAGUGGGGAAUAUUGCACAAUGGGCGCAAGCCUGAUGCAGCCAUGCCGCGUGUAUGAAGAAGGCCUUCGGGUUGUAAAGUACUUUCAGCGGGGAGGAAGGGAGUAAAGUUAAUACCUUUACUCAUUGACGUUACCCGCAGAAGAAGCACCGGCUAACUCCGUG
rnacentral:rRNA from 1 species